AUUGAACGCUGGCGGCAGGCCUAACACAUGCAAGUCGAGCGGAUGAAGGGAGCCUGCUCCUGGAUUCAGCGGCGGACGGGUGAGUAAUGCCUAGGAAUCUGCCUGGUAGUGGGGGAUAACGUCCGGAAACGGGCGCUAAUACCGCAUACGUCCUGAGGGAGAAAGUGGGGGAUCUUCGGACCUCACGCUAUCAGAUGAGCCUAGGUCGGAUUAGCUAGUUGGUGGGGUAAAGGCCUACCAAGGCGACGAUCCGUAACUGGUCUGAGAGGAUGAUCAGUCACACUGGAACUGAGACACGGUCCAGACUCCUACGGGAGGCAGCAGUGGGGAAUAUUGGACAAUGAGCGAAAGCCUGAUCCAGCCAUGCCGCGUGUGUGAAGAAGGUCUUCGGAUUGUAAAGCACUUUAAGUUGGGAGGAAGGGCAGUAAGUUAAUACCUUGCUGUUUUGACGUUACCAACAGAAUAAGCACCGGCUAACUUCGUG
rnacentral:rRNA from 1 species